rnacentral:rRNA from 1 species
UACGUAGGAGGCGAGCGUUGUCCGGAGUUACUGGGCGUAAAGGGUGCGUAGGCGGCCGCGCGCGUGGCGGGUGAAAUCUCUCGGCUUACCCGGGAGGGUGCUUGCCAGACGGCGUGGCUUGAGGGACGGAGAGGGGCGUGGAAUUCCGGGUGGAGCGGUGAAAUGCGUAGAUAUUGGGAGGAACACCAGUGGCGAAGGCGGCUCACUGGACCGGUACUGACGCUGAGGUGCGAAAGCGUGGGGAGCAAACAGG